GAUGAACGCUGGCGGCGUGCCUAAUACAUGCAAGUCGAGCGAACGGACGAGAAGCUUGCUUCUCUGAUGUUAGCAGCGGACGGGUGAGUAACACGUGGAUAACCUACCUUUAAGACUGGGAUAACUUCGGGAAACCGGAGCUAAUACCGGAUAAUAUUUUGAACCGCAUGGUUCAAAAGUGAAAGACGGUCUUGCUGUCACUUAUAGAUGGAUCCGCGCUGCAUUAGCUAGUUGGUAAGGUAACGGCUUACCAAGGCAACGAUGCAUAGCCGACCUGAGAGGGUGAUCGGCCACACUGGAACUGAGACACGGUCCAGACUCCUACGGGAGGCAGCAGUAGGGAAUCUUCCGCAAAGGGCGAAAGCCUGACGGAGCAACGCCGCGUGAGUGAUGAAGGUCUUCGGAUCGUAAAACUCUGUUAUUAGGGAAGAACAUAUGUGUAAGUAACUGUGCACAUCUUGACGGUACCUAAUCAGAAAGCCACGGCUAACUACGUG
rnacentral:rRNA from 1 species